GCUGAAUGUGGGGAUAAUUUAUCUCUGUGUUGUAGCUAACGCGUUAAGCACUCCGCCUGGGGACUACGGUCGCAAGACUAAAACUCAAAGGAAUUGACGGGGACCCGCACAAGCGGUGGAGCAUGUGGUUUAAUUCGAUGCAACGCGAAGAACCUUACCACUUCUUGACAUGGAGAUUAGAUCCUUCUUAACAGAAGGGCGCAGUUCGGCUGGAUCUCGCACAGGUGCUGCAUGGCUGUCGUCAGCUCGUGUCGUGAGAUGUUGGGUUAAGUCCCGCAGCGAGCGUAACCCUCAUCCUUGGUUGCCAGCGGGUUGAGCCGGGCACUUUAAGGAGACUGCCAGUGGUAAACUGGAGGAAGGUGGGGAUGAUGUCAAGUCAGCACGGCCCUUAUGGGGUGGGCUACACACGUGCUACAAUGGUGACUACAAUAGGUUGCAAUGUCGUAAGGCUGAGCUAAUCCAUAAAAGUCAUCUCAGUUCGGAUUGUCCUCUGCAACUCGAGGGCAUGAAGUCGGAAUCGCUAGUAAUCGUGGAUCAGCAUGCCACGGUGAAUACGUUCUCGGGUCUUGUACACACUGCCCGUCACGCCAUGGGAAUUGGCUUAACUCGAAGCUGGUGCGCUAACCGAAAGGAAGCAGCCAU
rnacentral:rRNA from 1 species